UGGGGAAUUUUGGACAAUGGGCGAAAGCCUGAUCCAGCAAUGCCGCGUGUGUGAAGAAGGCCUUCGGGUUGUAAAGCACUUUUGUCCGGAAAGAAAUCCUUGGCUCUAAUACAGUCGGGGGAUGACGGUACCGGAAGAAUAAGCACCGGCUAACUACGUGCCAGCAGCCGCGGUAAUACGUAGGGUGCAAGCGUUAAUCGGAAUUACUGGGCGUAAAGCGUGCGCAGGCGGUUUGCUAAGACCGAUGUGAAAUCCCCGGGCUCAACCUGGGAACUGCAUUGGUGACUGGCAGGCUAGAGUAUGGCAGAGGGGGGUAGAAUUCCACGUGUAGCAGUGAAAUGCGUAGAGAUGUGGAGGAAUACCGAUGGCGAAGGCAGCCCCCUGGGCCAAUACUGACUCAUGCACGAAAGCGUGGGGAGCAAACAGGAUUAGAUACCCUGGUAGUCCACGCCCUAAACGAUGUCAACUAGUUGUUGGGGAUUCAUUUCCUUAGUAACGUAGCUAACGCGUGAAGUUGACCGCCUGGGGAGUACGGUCGCAAGAUUAAAACUCAAAUGAAUUGACGGGGUCAUAGCUGUUUCCU
rnacentral:rRNA from 1 species